UACGGAGGGGGCUAGCGUUGUUCGGAAUUACUGGGCGUAAAGCGCGCGUGGGCGGACCUGCAAGUCGGGGGUGAAAGCCCGAGGCUCAACCUCGGAACUGCCUUCGAUACUGCGGGUCUCGAGUCCGGGAGAGGUGAGUGGAAUUCCUAGUGUAGAGGUGAAAUUCGUAGAUAUUAGGAAGAACACCAGUGGCGAAGGCGGCUCAGCUGGCCCGGUACUGACGCUGAGGCGCGAAAGCGUGGGGAGCAAACAGG
rnacentral:rRNA from 1 species